rnacentral:rRNA from 1 species
GACGAACGCUGGCGGCGUGCUUAACACAUGCAAGUCGAACGGAAAGGCCCUGCUUUUGUGGGGUGCUCGAGUGGCGAACGGGUGAGUAACACGUGAGUAACCUGCCCUUGACUUUGGGAUAACUUCAGGAAACUGGGGCUAAUACCGGAUAGGAGCUCCUGCUGCAUGGUGGGGGUUGGAAAGUUUCGGCGGUUGGGGAUGGACUCGCGGCUUAUCAGCUUGUUGGUUGGGUAGUGGCUUACCAAGGCUUUGACGGGUAGCCGGCCUGGGAGGGUGACCGGCCACCUUGGGCCUGCGGUACGGCCCAGACUCCUACGGGAGGCAGCAGUGGGGAAUCUUGCACAAUGGGCGGGAGCCUGAUGCAGCAACGCCGCGUGCGGGAUGACGGCCUUCGGGUUGUAAACCGCUUUCGCCUGUGACGAAGCGUGAGUGACGGUAAUGGGUAAAGAAGCACCGGCUAACUACGUG